rnacentral:rRNA from 1 species
AACGAACGCUGGCGGCAGGCCUAACACAUGCAAGUCGAACGCCCUAGCAAUAGGGAGUGGCAGACGGGUGAGUAACGCGUGGGAACGUACCCUUCGGUUCGGAAUAACCCAGGGAAACUUGGACUAAUACCGGAUACGUGCGAGAGCAGAAAGAUUUAUCGCCGAAGGAUCGGCCCGCGUCCGAUUAGCUAGUUGGUGAGGUAAUGGCUCACCAAGGCGACGAUCGGUAGCUGGCUGAGAGGAUGAUCAGCCACACUGGGACUGAGACACGGCCCAGACUCCUACGGGAGGCAGCAGUGGGGAAUAUUGGACAAUGGGCGCAAGCCUGAUCCAGCCAUGCCGCGUGAGUGAUGAAGGCCCUAGGGUUGUAAAGCUCUUUCGCCAGGGACGAUAAUGACGGUACCUGGAUAAGAA